GCAGUGGUGGUUCAGUGGUAGAAUUCUUGCCUUCCAUGCAGGAGACCUGGUUCCAUUCCCAGCCAAAGCA
rnacentral:tRNA from 1 species